CUAGUCUCCCUUUAUUUAUUUAUCAGCACAAAUAUAACACACACACACACAUAUAUAUAUAUAUAUGAAAGACCACACUAUCACAAUAAUGCCGUUCAGAAGCAAACGCAGGCACUAAAGCAGAGUUCUGUUUAAGGCAGUCUGUCCAACUCAUAACUCAGAUAGACCACAGACCAGGUUUGGUGGUUAGUGUGGAAGGGAUCGACAAACCUGUUGGUGGGGUUGCCUCUGUGUGUGUGUGUGCACGCACACGCACAAAAUUCAGGCUCAGUGUGUAGUGUGUCACAAAUGUUACGAAUGCGAUGUAGUGUAGUGGGAGAACAAGAGUUUGACCAUGUUCGCCAACUUUUGUGCCACCGAGACAAAAUCUAAGCAUUUCAACAUUUUGCUCAGCGUCUGUAUCCUUGAGUGGGCCGCUGUACAACCUAGGGGAUGGCUGUGUGUGUGUGUACACGCACGCACAUCCACGUUGCCUCUGGGCGGACCUUGCAAUACUGCUGUGAAGAGUUGGAAGACCCAGAAUGACAAUUUGUGUUAUUUCCUAGGUUUAACGUUGGAUCUUUCUGGGGAGGGGCUCUUGGUUCUUUGUGGCGAUGGUCACUGCAGAUUUUAAAGAGGAAGGAAAAUACAAGGGUCGGGUUGGAUUAAGGCGCUGCUGAAUAAAAACCACAGUGGUGGGAUUUGCACAAUGGACUGAGCUGCAGACUCUUGUCUUACUGAAGCCCGGAAGAGGUGAAGUUCAGAGAAACGCUGAACCAAAAAAAACGUAUGAGCUGUUAUCGGGGGUAACUCCAUGCGUGGCGACUUUGAAGACUUGUGGACUUCAACUCCCAGAAUUCCUCAGCCAGGCAGCCAUGUGGUCUGGAGAAUUCUGGGAGCUUGGAAGCUCACAAAUUUUAAAGUCGGCUGGUUUGGAGACACCCUUGAGUUAUAGGAUGGUUGGGAACCCAAGGCGGCGACUUAGGAAGAGAACGUGAAUCUCCUAGUAAACAGAGAUGUGGCUGCUUGGACAGCUGGAACUAGAUGUGACGAGAUCAGAUUUCCCCACCUGAGGCAAUCUUCUGAAGGACAUCAAUCCUAUAGCAGCUUCGAGGUCAUUCAUUUUUAGCACACGUUCCUUCACAGAUAAACUAAACCAGUGUUUCUCAACCUUGGUCCAUCUGAAGAUGCGUUGAGAAACACUGAACUAAACAGAACCAGCAAGGGUAUUUGGCCUUUUGACCCUCAUCUCUGGGACCACUGCGUCACAAACUGCCUGUCCCCAUUCCCCAAAACCAGUGGGAUUGAGAGCUCCACCAUCUUGUUCCUGAACCGCUUAUUCCAGCUCUUUUUGCUGGAAUAAGUUUGUUUUUUUUUAAAGCGAAUUCCAGAGAUGCAGUAAAUUUUCUGGCUUCCCACCAAGGAUGAAGAAGCACUUCAGCGCUAGACUUUUAUACCUAUAAUCAUCUUUUUAAGGGCCUAAUGCUACGGCGGCCCUAGUCCAAUCAAGGGCAUAAAAGUCGAUGGCUCUCGAGAAGAAGAACAAGAUGUUUCAAGCUCGUUAUGGGAACGGAGGAGGAUGCUCAAGGAGAGAGCAAGGGGCAAAAAUGACAAAACAAGAGAAGGGGAAAACAGCCCUUCGCUUUGAGAUCACAACAAACCCCUGCCGGGCUAGGAAGCGGCGGUCCUUGGCACCCAUCAAAUCAAGGUACAUCUACAAGGCCACGGCGUUAUUC